rnacentral:tmRNA from 1 species
ACCUAUUGGACCCGGGGGCGGUACCCGGCGCCUCCACCAAAGUAUAAACAACCAAAAUUAUAUUUUGGUGGGGGCGAAAUAGGAUCGACAAGGGUGUAAAGAUCGCUCUUUUACUCGGUAUUGUACCACCGUUAUCGGGCUAAAUGAGUAGUUGCAAAUGACAACUAUGCGGAAAUACGUCGCGCCGCUUAAGUGGUGUGAAUGUUUCAAAUUGAGUCUUAAACCGUCGCAGGUUUAAGCGGGGUUCGAAGG